UACGUAGGGGGGCAAGCGUUGUCCGGAUUUAUUGGGCGUAAAGAGCGUGUAGGCGGCCAGGUAGGUCUGCUGUGAAAACUCGAGGCUUAACCUCGAGCUGUCGGCGGAAACCAUCUGGCUAGAGUCCGGAAGAGGAGAGUGGAAUUCCCGGUGUAGCGGUGAAAUGCGUAGAGAUCGGGAGGAACACCAGUGGCGAAGGCGGCUACCUGGACCAGCACGUGACACUGAGGCAC
rnacentral:rRNA from 1 species